rnacentral:lncRNA from 1 species
CAGAAACCAAAAAUUACCUUUGUUCUUCUUUAAGCCACUUCCCAUCCCCAUAGAGAUAACAAUGAUUCUGAUUUCAAAAAUCACAAGUUAUGAUCAUCUCCUUUUGAAUUUUAUAUAAAAGCAAUAAUAUAGCAUGUAUUAUUUUGUGUUUGGCUAUUCCCUCCAGCCUAUUGCAAAAUGAUGUUUGAGAGAUUAUCCUUGUUUAUGUGUAUGUUGUUCAUUCAUUCUCACUGAUGAAUGGUUAAUUAACUUUUGUUGGAGAUAUAAAUUCAGGGUAAAAAUGGGUUAGCAAACUGUUUAAAUCAUAAUUUCGUAUGUAACACUAUAUGAGCAUUUAAAACCGUUUUCAUGGGGCUGAAGGUGUAGCUUAGUGGUAAAUCACAUGCUUAGCAUGUGGUGAAGUCUUUGGUCCCAACACCAAAAAAAAAAAAAAAAAAGAAAGAAAAAGAAAAAAGAAAAGAAAAACUGGUAACAAAACUCCAUUGUCCUUUUAGAAUAAUUGUUUGAAUGUAUAAUUUAAUGUCUACACUCUGUUGCUUAGAUUCACGCUCAAUGAACAUUUCUUCUGGGAAGCCAUCCUAAACUUCCCCAUCCAGAAUGAAAACUCCUUUCUCUGUGCUCUCCUGAAACCUUAUGUAUUUCUGUUAUAACUCUGUUUUAAUGUUGUUAUUUGUGCAGUAUAGUUAUUUAUAGUGUUGAGCUUUAUUUUGUCAUAUGCACACAUGCAUGAAAUAUAAUUUGCUCCAUUACAAUCACC